rnacentral:pre_miRNA from 1 species
CAAAUACUCCCUCCGUCUGGAAAUACUUGUCAUCAAAAUGAAUAAAAGGAAAUGUAUCUAGACGUAUUUUAGUUUUAGAUACAUCUAUUUUUAUCCAUUUUGAUGACAAGUAUUUUUGGACGGAGGGAGUAGAAA